UACCAGCACCCCGAGUGGUCGGGACGUUUAUUGGGCCUAAAGCAUCCGUAGCCGGUUCUACAAGUCUUCCGUUAAAUCCACCUGCUUAACAGAUGGGCUGCGGAAGAUACUAUGGAGCUAGGAGGCGGGAGAGGCAAGCGGUACUCGAUGGGUAGGGGUAAAAUCCGUUGAUCCAUUGAAGAACACCAGUGGCGAAGGCGGCUUGCCAGAACGCGCUCGACGGUGAGGGAUGAAAGCUGGGGGAGCAAACCGG
rnacentral:rRNA from 1 species